ACCUGCACUUGUCGUCAACAUAAAAGGUAUUUCGAAAAUGUUUUCUGGUUGUUGUUUUAUGUCCUGAUUUCUGGUGGGCAGCAGUAGAGUUUUGGGGUUUUGUGGCUUUUUGGUUGGUGUAUUUGGCUUUGGGGAUUUCGAGGCUUUUUAGCACGGAGGAUUUGUUAUCGGUGCUGUUUUGGAAGGGUUAUAAAACCCAUGUGGAAAUAAACAGAGGAAGAACUUUCUGCACUCAUGAACCCAUCAGCAACAAUACAGGAAAAGUACCAAUAAAAGACCAUGGAGAAAUGACCAGCAGGAUACCUGAACUUGAUGCUCUCCUGUCGUCGGGUUGUAGUCUCCAGCCUUGUGUUUCUUAUAUAGGGGGCAGUGAAGAUUCUAGACGGCGGGAUAAACAUUUGUUUGAAAUUUGAAUCUCCCGAAGCUCACGAAGAUAAGCUGUUGAUCGGAGACUUCGUCUUUGACUUUGAGAUUGAACUUGGACGCCCUCUGCCACUUUGUUCUUAUCACAAUUUGAAUGCUUUCUUCUGUUUCUUUUUUUCCGUAGCUUAUCCCCACCCAAGCUUGGUCAACCUUUGAAUUUGAGAAACAGAUAAUUUGUAAAUAAAUAUUUGUUUAACUGCUGUCAUUAUCCUCUUCUCUUUUUUUUUUUUGAAUAAUUGUGACAGCUACAUGCUUUGUACA